rnacentral:rRNA from 1 species
UACGGAGGGUGCAAGCGUUAUCCGGAUUCACUGGGUUUAAAGGGUGCGUAGGUGGGUUGGUAAGUCAGUGGUGAAAUCUCCAGGCUCAACUUGGAAACUGCCAUUGAUACUAUUAAUCUUGAAUACCGUGGAGGUCAGCGGAAUAUGUCAUGUAGCGGUGAAAUGCUUAGAUAUGACAUAGAACACCAAUUGCGAAGGCAGC